UGAAUACGAGACGCUAAGGCGUCGAAGUAGUGUAUGUCAUACUUCCAAGAAAAGCUUGCACUGUCAUAAGUAAAAAAUGCCUGUACCAUAACCGACACAGGUGGGUAGGUAGAGUAUACUAAGGGGCGCGAGAUAACUCUCUCUAAGGAACUCGGCAAAAUAACUCCGUAACUUCGGGAGAAGGAGUACCUUAUUCUAUAAGGUUGCAAUAACAAGAUCCAAGCAACUGUUUAUCAAAAACACAGGUCUCCGCUAAGUCGUAAUACGAUGUAUGGGGGCUGACGCCUGCCCAGUGCCAGAAGGUUAAAGAAGUCGGUUAGCAUUAGCGAAGCUGGUAACUGAAGCCCUGGUGAACGGCGGCCGUAACGAUAACGGUCCUAAGGUAGUGAAAUUCCUUGUCGGGUAAGUUCCGACCCGCACGAAAGGCGUAAUGAUUUGGAUACUGUCUCGGAGAGGGGCUCGGUGAAAUAGACUUGUCUGUGAAGAUGCGGACUACCUGCACCAGGACAGAAAGACCCUAUGAAGCUUUACUGUAACUUGAAAUUGAAAUCGACUUUAUUCGCGCAGUAUAGGUGGGAGGUGUUGAUUAUAAUCUUGCGGGAUUAUUGGAGCCAUCAGUGAGAUACCACUCUUGUAAUGUUAGAUUUCUAACUUUGAAUCAUUAUCUGGUCAAAGGACAGUUUCAGGCGGGCAGUUUGACUGGGGCGGUCGCCUCCCAAACGGUAACGGAGGCGUACAAAGGUUUCCUCUGAACGGGUAGAAAUCGUAUCUAGAGUGUAAAGGCAUAAGGAAGCUUGACUGUGAGACCUACAAGUCGAACAGGGACGAAAGUCGGUCUUAGUGAUCUGACGGUACUGAGUGGAAAGGCCGUCACUCAACGGAUAAAAGUUACUCUAGGAUAACAGGCUGAUCUCCCCCAAGAGUUCACAUCGACGGGGAGGUUUGGCACCUCGAUGUCGGCUCAUCGCAUCCUGGGGCGGUAGUACGUCCCAAGGGUUGGGCUGUUCGCCCAUGAAAGCGGUACGCGAGCUGGGUUCAGAACGUCGUGAGACAGUUCGGUCCAUAUCCGGUGUAGCGUUAGAAUAUUGAGAGGAGCCUUCUUUAGUACGAGAGGACCGAGAAGGACAUACCUCUGGUGUACCAGUUAUCGUGCCAACGGUAAACGCUGGGUAGCUAUGUAUGGAGUGGAUAACCGCUGAAAGCAUCUAAGUGGGAAGCCCACCUCAAGAUAAGUAUUC
rnacentral:rRNA from 1 species